AAAUUUGAAAGCUGGUACCUUCGGUAUCCGCGUUGUAACCUCGAGACACGUUUUCCGUGCGGCGCUAUGGACAAGUUCCUUGGAACAGGACAUCGUAGAGGGUGAAAAUCCCGUACUUGCCAUGGAUGUACCGUGCUUUGCGAUACGUGCUCUAAGAGUCGAGUUGUUUGGGAUUGCAGCUCAAAAUGGGUGGUAGACUCCAUCUAAAGCUAAAUAUCGGGGAGAGACCGAUAGCGAACAAGUACCGUGAGGGAAAGAUGAAAAGCACUUUGGAAAGAGAGUUAAAAGUACGUGAAAUUGUCGAAAGGGAAGCGCUUGAAGUCAGCCAUGCCGCUCAGGACUCAGCCUGGCUUUUGCUUGGUGUAUUUCCUGGGUAGCAAGUCAGCAUUGGUUUGGAUCGUCGGAGAAGCAUAGUCGGAAUGUGGCGCCCUCGGGCGUGUUAUAGCCUUCUAUUGGAUACGACGAUCUAGACCAAGGAACGCAGCGCGCCUUAUGGCGGGUCUUCGGACACCUUCGCGCUUAGGAUGCUGGCGUAAUGGCUUUA
rnacentral:rRNA from 1 species